UGUAUGGAGACGGCCGCUAUAUGACGGCACCGCUAUCCUAGGAAACCAGACCCCACCACCCCAAUAUGACCUUGGUAUGUUCAGUUUUUGUACAGGUCAUUAUAGACGGUUGGCGUACAGCUUUCACUUCUUUAGUCUACAAUAGAUACCUGGUCCCGUGCGUUCGAAUAACUUUUUCAAGUUUUUAUUUAGUAUCUGUCUCUGUCAAUGAAAUCUUGAAAGUUUUGGACCCACUGUCCAGUUUCCAUUCUAGCAAUUAAACAUGCAUAUUUAAAUUGGGUGAGAAUGCUGAUGGAGACCUUACGUGCCCAUAAGUAGACUUACCACGAGUUUGACAUUGACAUAAUAUUCGGUAGCGUGUGCGUGUGUAACUUCUUAAAAAAUUCUAUGCAUAUCACGAGCAUUAGUGUGAGCGAGAUGUAUAGAAAGUAAGAGGGAAUAGUAAUGUCAUACUCGUGGUAAGGAUAAAGAACUUGUAAAUAAUCACAAUAUCAUCUAGUAACUAAUGAUCAUACUAAAGCUUGUACCAAAAUGACGUUUGACACACUUUAUAUUUUGAUCAUCGAAAAUAAACUAAUUCAUUAUUUAAAAAAAAACGUCCAUAAAAUGGAUAUUUUCUCAAAAUAUUGAUUUAAUUAUUCGAACGCACAUAUAAUUAUAGUAAUCAUUUUAUCAAACUAUAGUAGAUCUGUCACUUUAAUAUUAGGCUUUUGUAUAGUUUCCGGUAUUGUAACAUACCGGAAACGAUCGUGUCCAAAGAGUAUGUAGGAGUAAUGCCGAGAGAUAAAGUAAAUUUAAAAUAUUUAUUUUGGUAUCGUAUGAUAGCGUUUUUAUCAUUUUAAGUUAACUCGAGUACAGUCAUAUCCGGAAUAGUUUAAUAUUUUCGAGGUGACUGUGCUAUCGAAUAAAUUGUGAAAAGGUUUUCUAAAAACCGUACAUUUCAGAACUAAGGCCGUCUUUGCAAAGUACCCCAAGCACAAAAAUAAAGGUGCGUGCAUACUUUCUCUCAAAACUAUACAGGGUGAUUCAUGAGACGUGAGCAGGACUAAUCCUGCACACUCAGUAACUGAUAAUUGAUCGAACACCAUCGUGUUUAGGUGAAACAACCACACUUUUUCCUAUUUUUUAACUUUUCGGUGAGAGCAAAUUUAAUUCUCUACAAUCAUGGUCACCCUACAAGACCUACUUAAUAAACAUAAAACCUCAUUAACCGUAAUGACAGCAUUUUGUUACGAAGAAAAUAAACUGACAAACUUGAGUGAGAUACGAGUUUUCAAAAGUAACCAGUCCGUGAUGACAGUGAUGACAUUCAAUUUGACACAGAAUAUCGGUAGUUUAGUACUCUAAUUUUAGGGUGACCAUGCAUGUCGUAAAUAAAUUAAUAACUUUUUUUUUAACAUGACUAGAAGGUUAACCUCAUCUAAUACUGAUACGAGACAGUUGCUUAUAAUUUACGAAAUGCGCAGUGUUAGUCCUGCUCACGUCUCCUGAAUCACCCUGUAGAAGAAAAUAUAUGGAAAUAUUGGUAAAUGUAAAUAAAUGAAAAUACUCAAUCUAAAAUUAAAUAGCAGUUAAUAUAGAAAAUUAAAGUGUUCUCGUAUCGCCCUGGUGUGCACAAUCCUUAUCCAUGCAACAAUUUUGAACUAUUUAUAUUUAUGAUUUUUACGUAUUUUUUUACACUUAUACAAGACUUGUUUUGUCUUGUAAUGUAUGACUGUCUGUAUUUUUAUGUAGAAUAAGCGAAGUAAUUAGAUUUUGUAUGGGCUAAAAAAAUAUACACUAUGUUAAUAUUUUUUACCAAAUAAUAUCGGGGGAUGUGAUAUCAUACUGCCUGGUACUGCACACUAUUUCACUAUAACAACAAAAGUAUACAAUCAUAUUUUUUAUCGGAAAGCAAUAUAAUUUAAGUAAAAAUAUUCCGUAAUAAUGUUUUUUUAAACAAAAAAAAAGUAUUUUUUCUAUCCUUAACGAACUUAUAGUGAAAUAUAUAUUACUGUUUGCAUUCGAACGAAACUGCGAUUACAUAAAAAAAUUAGUUGUUCUAAUAAAUAUUACGUAAAAACGGCUAAUAGGAUUCUAUUAAUUUUGUCAUUAAAGACCUCCACACUUUUUAUUUUUGUGGUAUUUGUAGGUUCAAGAUUAUAUUUCAUCAUCAUCUGAUACCCAGUAUAAUCUGGGCUAUAACCGCGAAAAUCGAAGUUCGCAAAUUGCGAUCAUCUUUCUCUGUCACUCUUAUUACACGUUCAUUGGAGUAAACGAGAAAGAUCCCCGCAAUUUGCGAAUUUCGGUUUUCGCGGUAGCCCAUCUGGGACUAGUUGGAAAUUAGUAUUUACUUAAUGAACUUACCCCGUCGUUUCUAAGUGUCCACGUUGUCUUGAGGGUAUCGCUUUCGAAUGCAAGCGUACGGUCUGGCAAGAGUAGAAAUUAAAAAGUGGCAACACUGUAGUAUCGUCCCGUUUAUAAAUUGGUUUGAAUGGGACGACACUACAGUGUUGCCACUAUUUAAUUUCUACUCUUUUUUUGCCAGACUGUAGUUCACAUCCAACCGAUAACUCCCUGUAGAGGGCUUGCGGCAUUCCACUGUAGGUUAAGACUGAACAACGAGGCUAAUAUUGAGUUAUUUGUCCCUCUUUUUUUUUAUGAAUGGGCUUACUCAUGGCCACAGACUAGCCGAGGCGUAGACGUACCCUCACCUACUAUUAGUUAUAAGACCCGCUCGAUUUUUUUUAUGUUUAAUGUGAACUAUUCCUUAUUACCAGACUCUUAUUGCUAUAAGGAUGGUGUUUAGCAAAAAUGAGUCAGCCCACAUUCAUUUUGCAAUAAAAUGUCAACUUUAAGCGUAAAGUUUUUGAGUUGACAUCUUAUUGAAAAAUUAAUCAUUAGGUAGUGUUGGCUAGAACUAGUCUAAGGUUAGGAGUUUGAAAUUAGUGAGUUCAACUCAGUUAUUGUAAUAGACUUGUUUAAACGUCUUCAGUCUUUUUGUCGAAAUGCGAGAGUCAUUUAAUGCGAGAUUCAAAAGAAUUUACAAAAAAAUCCGAGAACAAUUUUUCAAGGUUUUAUUUAAUAUUUUAAUUAAACUCCUUAACAAAGGAGUAGGGUGUAAAAUGUAAACCUAACUCUCACGUCGCUGCGCCUUAGCCAUCAACAAACGUCCAGAGGGCCUCUUGAAUUAAUUGAAUUUCUAUUUGCGAGUUCCUGUAAUUGGCUCUAUAUAUCUAUUCAAGAUUCCAUUGUCAUUUAGUUAGCUGUUGGAUCUCCUUAUGUAAAUAAAUAAAUUAAUUAAAUAAUUAAUUAAUUCAAAUGAAUCCUAGCCUCGUAAGUCCCCGCGUACUUGUACAAGUACAAAUUAAAUUCGAGUUAUGAACUCUUAUAGAAAUAAAAGAAAGUUCCAAAUUCACAAGCGCAAAAAUUGGCUUGGGUCUUACGAGGUUACAUUGAUUUUGACCUCAAAUUCUAGAUGUCUCAAUUUGCCAGCCAAAAAAACAUUAUUAUAAUGAACCUUCAUUCUUUUAGCUGACCCCAAAUGGCUUCAGUGAGAAGCGAACCCCCCACCAAUCUGGAGUCUAAAAAACCGGGUCAAUAAUAAGAGGAUGUCAAAGAAUAGUUUUUGCCAACACUAUUAUGUACCUAUAUGAUUUCGCUUUACUAAACGGCCUACAAACACACAUACGAUCUCUUGAAUGUGUUCAGUAUUAAGAUUGGGAAUGCUCGAGCCCCGCGACUGAGGUGUAGCUUUUUGUAACGAUGUAACACGUAGGAAUGUUAUGACUUUUUUAUAAAAACAACUCUAGUGUAAGUUAGGUUAGUACAAAUCGGAGACUAACGGCGAGGUGGGGCGAGUUGAAUGGUGCUGUUCCUUUGACAUAUUCGGGGCCAAGAACCCGACUGUCGGGUACACUGUUCGUAGCGACUACGCGCUCCAUAUGGCAAAGACGUGACUACGCGGUACGAGCGUAACCCGUAGCACUUAGUGGUAAUGAAUGUGUUAACUUUUGAAUCAGGCUAUGUUAAAAUAAUUGCAACGUCACAAUAAACAUCAAUCUUCUAUGAAAAUGUGAUGGUUAUGGUGUUGCCAGAUUAUUUUACAACGGACCUAACCCUUUAUUAGGCAUAAGGGUGUCAGAAAUCAUGCAAAAUCGAACCCUAUCACUUUGAAAUAAAGUAAAAUCAUGUGGGAAAUAUAUUCCCUCUGCCUUACAAAGGCUUAAGCAACGUAUUAGCUGUACUCGCCUACUCUGGACUGGCUAAAAAUACUUCUUGGCUGUCAUAAUUUUGGAAAUGGUAUUUUAUGACAUUCAAUCGUGCGGCUAAAGACCUCCUUAAAUUUAAGACGAAUAUUUUUAGCUGAAAAUAAAUUUAUCAUAUCAUAAGCUUGCGAGAAAUAUCGGUAUCACUAAGAACAAUUGUCAAAUUUUUUAAAUAGACGCCAGACAAUAGUGUGAAUGUUUGAGGAUCGGGAUUUUGUACAGACAUUGUUAAUAUGUAUACUAGAGGUAGACCAAAAAAAGUCUGCAGCGAUUUUGAUAGCCCACGCAGUGCAAGUGUUAUUUUAAACGUCAAACUUCUAUGAAAUUAUGACGUAUAAAUAACACUUGCACUGCGUGGGCUAUCAAAAGCGCCGCAGACUUUUCUUGGUCUAACUCUAGUUUAAAUUUGAAGCCUAUUGGUCCACUUGACUCGCCCCACCACAACGGUGACAAGCCCCUGUAGGGGCGCAAAAUUUUAAUUUUAACGAUCAUUUGAACAAUUCAAGCUCAGACCGCUUGUAGUAGACGCGCUUUUAUACGUGUAAGCUGUUUUUUAACUGAACACACUACUAUGUCGGUCAUUAAACUAUAUAAUUAACUAGUUAAUUUUGAAAAUACAUGCACACUUUGAGACCCUUGUCCAUAUAUAAGUACCUGAUGAUGGCAACUCUACGUCGUUUGAGGUAACAGUCUGCUGCAUAGGAAAAUGGACUGUAGUGCUUGUUAAGGUCAUUUUCAACACUUUAUAAUGCAUAAGGGUGUCAAUUGUGCUAAAUUGAACCACUUGGAAAUAAAGAUCAAAAACAGGUGGGAAAUAUAUUCCCUCUGACUUAUAAAGCACUUUGGGCACUUUGAAUUUGAUUAUUUGUUAAACUUGUUAUAUCUUUAAAAAAAAACGAAAUAUGUUUUGUUCUGAAUGCCGGACGAAUGGACAAACAUUAGACAUUCUUUUAUAGAAGUGUGUUCAAUUAAAAAUGAUGCCUAAAUGAAAUAAAUAUUACGACCUGUGAAAGGAACGGACUAUGUUAAUUAGUCUUAUAAUAUGUGUAGUAUAUAUUUUGUACUCAAUUACAUCCUUAAGUCCUCGUAUUAUAUUAACCUUUUAACCGCAAUAGAAUUUUUCAUCGAACGUGCUCGUGUCGCCGGCGCGUUUUGUCGUAUUUGUCAGACCGCGGCGAAAGGAGCCCGAUUUUAUAUAGCUUAUAUAUCAGUAUACGGCGGUUCAAAUGUUAAGAAUAUGCAAGAUAUAUAGUUUAAUCAGUGCCAUAAAGAACACUUUCUCACACCAAAUGUUGCUACACAUGUUAGAAGACACAAAUACAAAAAAAAUAUACAAUUACGUAUGCUUCGGAUGUAAAUAUACUGCUAAGUCUUAUAUCGCCCUUGGAUAUUGUAUGUUUUUAUUUAAUUUUUGUACCUUUGGCGGUUGUAAAACUGGAAAUAUUAAUUUUAUUGUGUUUUUAUUUUUGUAAAUAUAUAAUGCAGGUCAUGUAACAAUAUUUUUGAAAAUAUACCAUUAUUUAGA